rnacentral:lncRNA from 1 species
AGAAACUCCACAAGAUAUAAGCCCCACAGUGGACAGAAACAAGGAGCUAUGGUGGAUCAUGCAAGUCGAUCAAAAUAUUUAUGCAUGUUAGGUCAUUUGGCUGCUCACAAGUGCUCAUUAAUCUAAGUUGCAUAUGAAAUGCAACAAGCAAAUAGAUAUUGCUAAAACAGGAAGGAAACUCACAGGCACAUGAGAGUCCCUAGCACUCCUCUUGGCAUCAGUGGCAGAGAAGACUGUGUAAACCAGGAUGAAGGUGCCAACAAUCUCAGCACCCAAGCCACCACCCUUGGUGUAACCAGGGGCCACAACAUUCGCUCCACCUCCAUUGUUCUCAUAGAGCCCCUUCUUAAACCCUUUCACCACGCCCGCACCGCAUAUGGCACCUAGACACUGCAUCACCAUGUAGAACAGAGCCCUGGUCAGGGACAGCUUCCUGGCCAGGAGCAGCCCAAAGGUCACAGCCGGGUUGAUGUGGCCACCUGAAAACCCAGAGCAUAACUCAGUCGAAGAUAUUGCCGUGAUCACAAGUGAGGAAGGAAACAAGCAGAGGAUGUGUUUGUUCACCUGAGAUCCCAGCGGUGCAGUAGACCAAGAUAAAGAUCAUGCCACCAAAGGCCCAGGCAAUCCCCUGGAUGCCCACGGUGGAGCACUUGGUGUUGGACUUGACCACACCCAUGACGGUGAGGAUGCUGAUGUAGAGGAAGAGGAAGGUGGCCAUGAAUUCUGCUAUGCCAGCCCUGUAGAAGGACCAUGAGCUGAGCUCCGCUGGCUCAAACAGUGGAGCUGGUGGUGGCUCCUGGUAGUCCCUGUCCUGACUCUGGGCAGCUGUCCCUAUUGCCUGCCUCUCCGAGAACUUGUUUGCUCCCACCCUCACAUCCUCCUCU